rnacentral:lncRNA from 1 species
GUCCAACCUUGUCUACAGUACACCCGGGACCUUUGGUAUAACAUCAUGAUGGGAGGGUGCAGGCUUGUGCGCCCGUCGGAGUGGGGGAGGGGCAGAGGGCAAGGAAGAGAGAGAAUCCCAAGCAGGCUCCAAACUCAGUGUGAAGCCCAACUCAGGGCUCCAUCUCCCAAUUCUGAGAUUACAACCAGAGCCAAAACGAAGAGUUGGACACUCAACUACCCGAGCCACCCAGGCGCCCCCAUUGUAAUCCUUUUUGAAUGUACAAUUCAGUGGCAUUAAGUACAUUACAUUGUUGUAUUGUUGUACAAUCAUCACCCCCAUCCAUCUCCAAAACUUUGCCAUUGUCCCAAACUGAAACUCUGUACCCAUUAAACAAUACUUCUCCAUUCCCCCAUACACCCAGUCUUUCGUAAAUACUCUUCUAUGUUCUUUCUCUGACUGUUCUGGGAACUAAUCAUUCUUACCGGGGUACUCCUGAAAGC